rnacentral:lncRNA from 1 species
ACAAUCCCUCACAGUACACAGCAGUCAUUACCCACAACCCCCACGGUACACAGCAGUCAUUACCCACAGUCCUUCAUGUCACACAGCAGUCAUCACCCACAAUCCCUCUUGGUACACAGCAGUCAUUACCCACAGUCCCUCACAGCACACAGCAGUCAUUACCCACAGUCCUUCAUAGCACACAGCAGUCAUCCCCCACAGUCCUUCAUAGUACACAGCAGUCAUCACCCACAAUCCCUCAUGGUACAUAGCAGUCAUUACCCACAGUUCCCCACAGUGCACAGCAGUCAUUACCCACAGUCCCCCGCAGUGCACAGCAGUCAAUACCCACAACGCCGACUGUAUACAGCAAAUACAGUAUUUAUAGAUGGAAAACAG